rnacentral:tRNA from 2 species
GACCCGCUAGCUCAGUCGGUAGAGCAAUUCCCUUUUAAGGAAUGGGCCGUUGGUUCGAAUCCAACGCGGGUCACCA